CCUACGGGAGGCAGCAGUGAGGAAUAUUGGUCAAUGGGCGCGAGCCUGAACCAGCCAAGUAGCGUGAAGGAUGACUGCCCUACGGGUUGUAAACUUCUUUUAUAAAGGAAUAAAGUGAGGCACGUGUGCCUUUUUGUAUGUACUUUAUGAAUAAGGAACGGCUAACUCCGUUCCAGCAGCCGCGGUAAUACGGAGGAUCCGAGCGUUAUCCGGAUUUAUUGGGUUUAAAGGGAGCGUAGAUGGGUUGUUAAGUCAGUUGUGAAAGUUUGCGGCUCAACCGUAAAAUUGCAAUUGAUACUGGCAGCCUUGAGUACAGUUGAGGUAGGCAGAAUUCGUGGUGUAGCGGUGAAAUGCGUAGAUAUCACGAAGAACUCCGAUUGCGAAGGCAGCUUACUAAACUGACACUGACAUUGAUGCUCGAAAGUGUGGGUAUCAAACAGGAUUAGAUACCCUGGUAGUC
rnacentral:rRNA from 1 species